rnacentral:lncRNA from 1 species
UCUAAAGCAUAUUUUCUAGCAAAAAUCUUAAUAGUGGUUUCUAGUGUAUUAUUAGAUAAUAAUAUAUACUUACAAACAAAGUAUAAAUUGUGUCAUUGGCAAAUUGGUAUUGCAAGAUAGUUUAAGUAGUAAGUUGGCAACGUAUGCAUGUUAUAGUUGGUUGAAUUAACAAUGCAUGUAAUAAUCUCCACUAAACAUAAAAAUGGCACCAACUUUGCAAUGAGAUUAUUUUUGGUUGAAUUAACAAUGCAUGUUAUAGUUGGUAGAGAUUAUUUUAAGUGUCUAUCACUUACAGAAUGAUUUAAGUAAAUUAUGAGCGUAUAGUUGUAUAAUUUUUAGCCAUCGUAUUUUGAAUCAAGAAUGGUAGAAUGACAAUCUUUAAGCAAACUACGUGGAAUCAAUCUUUGUGGGCAUGGUCAUGCCGUUAUGCAAGACAAAAGAAGAAAUGCAGUAACUUUACCUACCGACACAAGCAUGAGAUAUUGAAAUGGUGUUGCAAGCUUCAAAUCACCCCAUAAACCUUUUUGUUCUUGGGUACAAGAUUGACAUGAUGCAACUAUAUUCUUAGUUGUGCUCUUCUUAGGCAGAACAACAAUAACAAGUGGACAUUUGAGUGUGCUUACAACAGAGUGAAGUAGUAGAUAUUUGUUUUUUUCCUUUUUGUAUAUAAUCUGAGGAAAUGGAGUAGUAUUUUCCUCAAGUUUUUUGUUGUGCUUUUGUGAGAACUUGGAAACAUCUCACAUGCAAUGCCUUUAUGGAAGCCGAGGCGGUGUGUGGGAAGCAACAUUUGAAUGGUCAAAACUAAAAUCAAGCAAAUGAAUAAUCACUUGAAUAAGAUGCGGGAAUUUAUAAUCGGUUUUGUGCAUGCCAUUGGUUUGGCCCACUAGGGUAAACCUUUGUUUAUUCCUUCCAAUCACUAACCAUUUGCAUGUUGAUGUGAUCAAAAUUUCAACCCUUCAUCGGAAAAUUUUAGAAUUGAAGUUUGAAAUUUUGGUUUCCAAAUUAAGAAGACAAAUAUUCUCACUUGUUUGGUUGUUUAAUAUAAUUUUAUUUAACCAUGGAAUUGAAGUUGUAGGUAUUUUGCCUCACAAAAAGAAGUUUUAGAUACUUCAAACUCAAGUUGAAAAAUUAUUACCUCCAUCCAUAAUUAUGCAACAUCACAGAAUGAUGGAUAUAUUACUUAUUAAUUUUCAUUUUUUACUCCCUCCUUGCCAAAUUAUAGUGCAUGAAUGCUUUAAAAGUUAAAUAUCAUAAAUUUGACCAGG